CACUUCAUUUCACUAUUUUGUGAUUAUUUCAAUGUUUUCCCUUGGAGUGUAAAGUUUUAUGUGAGAGGAUAAUUGAAACUAAGAUAAUGGAGGUGUAAGGGUAAGUUUGAGGUGCAUGAAGUAAAAUGGAUAUAGGGCCGAACAAUUAGGAGGUGUAACGCGAAGAAGAUGGUUGCACGGAGUAAAAACUUAUCAAUCCCAAUUUUCUCUUCUCUUUCAAAAAUCAGGAAUACCACUUCUCACUCUCUCCCUCAAGCAACACACACCAGGAGUAGCACCCAUGAAUCACGCGCCAGCACCCUAUCCACGCAACACAGCAGCUGUUGCACCCUCCAUCACCGCUUAUCGCCGGCGUUGCUAUCGGCAGUGUCGCCGUCGUUGGUUUUCCCUGCAUCUGCGUCGAUCUCCCUCCAUCGUCACCACCUGAAGAUGUCACCGUCACAGCUACUUACGUACGCCGUCAACGCUGCCACGGUGAUGCCAAUCGGGCCGUCGUAGGUUCUGUUCUUCCUUGGAACGAACACACCGCCGCUCCCCGUCAUUUCGUGACAGCGAGCGCCACCCGAAAGCAACUCCACCCGAGCCGCUUCUCCUCGAAACUUCCAGAUCAGAAUGCAACAGAGGAACGUCGCCAGUGCUGAUCUAGUAGAUUUGGCCUCUUCCAUCGGAAAUUAUUACUUCUCUCUCACUAUUCUUGUUUGUACAUAUUACUGAAUAUAGUUAAGAACUCCGUGCCAUAAAAGGUAGUAGUCAAUUAAUUUACUAUAAUUUAUUACACUUUAUAUUAACUGGAUAUUAAAUCAAACCCACCUCACUCUCAUACAUGUACAUAUAUUUAACUUGUUUCAUGAGUAUUACAAUUAAGAUUUUCAAAUUUAAAUUUUAAUAAUUUGAACAUAUUGCAAGAUUUGAAAAUGUAUUGAUUUUUUAUAAGCG
rnacentral:lncRNA from 1 species